rnacentral:rRNA from 1 species
GAUGAACGCUGACAGAAUGCUUAACACAUGCAAGUCAACUUGAACUUCGGUUUGGGUGGCGGACGGGUGAGUAACGCGUAAAGAACUUGCCUCACAGAUAGGGACAACAUUUGGAAACGAAUGCUAAUACCUGAUAUUAUGAUUUUAGGGCAUCCUAGGAUUAUGAAAGCUAUAUGCGCUGUGAGAGAGCUUUGCGUCCCAUUAGCUAGUUGGAGAGGUAACGGCUCACCAAGGCGAGGAUGGGUAGCCGGCCUGGGAGGGUGAUCGGCCACAAGGGGACUGGGGCACGGCCCUUACUCAAGCGGGAGGCAGCAGUGGGGAAUAUUGGACAAUGGACCAAGAGUCUGAUGCAGGAAUUCUGUGUGCACGAUGAAGUUUUUCGGGAUGUAAAGUGCUUUCAGUUGGGAAGAAAAAAAUGACGGUACCAACAGAAGAAGUGACGGCUAAAUACGUG